AGAGUUUGAUCAUGGCUCAGGACGAACGCUGGCGGCGUGCUUAACACAUGCAAGUCGAACGAUGAAGCCUAGCUUGCUAGGUGGAUUAGUGGCGAACGGGUGAGUAAUACGUGAGUAACCUACCUUUAACUCUGGGAUAAGCCUGGGAAACUGGGUCUAAUACCGGAUACGACCAAUCUCCGCAUGGGGUGUUGGUGGAAAGCGUUAUGUAGUGGUUAUAGAUGGGCUCACGGCCUAUCAGCUUGUUGGUGAGGUAACGGCUCACCAAGGCGACGACGGGUAGCCGGCCUGAGAGGGUGACCGGCCACACUGGGACUGAGACACGGCCCAGACUCCUACGGGAGGCAGCAGUGGGGAAUAUUGCACAAUGGGCGCAAGCCUGAUGCAGCGACGCCGCGUGAGGGAUGACGGCCUUCGGGUUGUAAACCUCUGUUAGCAGGGAAGAAGAGAAAUUGACGGUACCUGCAGAGAAAGCGCCGGCUAACUACGUGCCAGCAGCCGCGGUAAUACGUAGGGCGCGAGCGUUGUCCGGAAUUAUUGGGCGUAAAGAGCUUGUAGGCGGUUUGUCGCGUCUGCUGUGAAAGGCCGGAGCUUAACUCCGUGUAUUGCAGUGGGUACGGGCAGACUAGAGUGCAGUAGGGGAGACUGGAAUUCCUGGUGUAGCGGUGGAAUGCGCAGAUAUCAGGAGGAACACCGAUGGCGAANGCAGGUCUCUGGGCUGUAACUGACGCUGAGAAGCGAAAGCAUGGGGAGCGAACAGGAUUAGAUACCCUGGUAGUCCAUGCCGUAAACGUUGGGCACUAGGUGUGGGGGACAUUCCACGUUUUCCGCGCCGUA
rnacentral:rRNA from 1 species